rnacentral:rRNA from 1 species
GAUGAACGCUGGCGGCGUGCCUAAUACAUGCAAGUCGAGCGAACGGACGAGAAGCUUGCUUCUCUGAUGUUAGCCGCGGACGGGUGAGUAACACGUGGAUAACCUACCUAUAAGACUGGGAUAACUUCGUGAAACCGGAGCUAAUACCGUAUAAUAUUUUGAACCGCAUGGUUCAAAAGUUAAAGACGGUCUUGCUGUCACUUAUAGCUGGAUCCGCGCUGCAUUAGCUAGUUGGUAAGGUAACGGCUUACCAAGGCAACGAUGCAUAGCCGACCUGAGAGGGUGAUCGGCCACACUGGAACUGAGACACGGUCCAGACUCCUACGGGAGGCAGCAGUAGGGAAUCUUCCGCAAUGGGCGAAAGCCUGACGGAGCAACGCCGCGUGAGUGAUGAAGGUCUUCGGAUCGUAAAACUCUGUUAUUAGGGAAGAACAUAUGUGUAAGUAACUGUGCACAUCUUGACGGUACCUAAUCAGAAAGCCACGGCUAACUACGUG